ensembl:miRNA Mir669d-2 microRNA 669d-2
GUGCAUGUGUGCAGAAGUGUAUGCAUGUACAUGUGUUUAUGUGAAUAUACAUAUACAUACACACAUAUACACACACAUGCA